rnacentral:rRNA from 1 species
UACAGAGGUCUCAAGCGUUGUUCGGAUUCAUUGGGCGUAAAGGGCGCGUAGGCGGCGGGGUAAGUCGGGUGUGAAAUCUCAGGGCUCAACCCUGAAACUGCACUCGAUACUGCUCUGCUUGAGGACUGGAGAGGAGACUGGAAUUCACGGUGUAGCAGUGAAAUGCGUAGAUAUCGUGAGGAAGACCAGUGGCGAAGGCGGGUCUCUGGACAGUUCCUGACGCUGAGGCGCGAAGGCCAGGGGAGCAAACAGG